rfam:Sordaria macrospora k-hell, WGS project CABT02000000 data, contig: 2.6
CACUUCCCCCGAUGCGACACAACAUCCUGCUGCGGUGUUGUGUGGUGACCUGCAGUGUCGGUCGGCGGAAGUG